ACACACCAACACCUUUUGCCCCUCAACUUAGCCUUUGCACUGCUCUAGGUCACCAUCUGUCUUCAAGAGGCAUCCUCAAUGACAGCCACAUCCUCUCUGAUCUUCCUCCGGUCACCACAUUCGCCUUCAUCACCUGCCAAAAUAGAGCGCAAGCGGUCACCCCCACACCAGUCAGCUCCAGCCUCGUCCACAAGACCGCCCUCCACACCAAAGCCCCACUGGCACUGCGCUCACCAGCAAUAUGCCAAUCCCAAACUCCAACAUUGUGGCUGGCAGGACACCCACGGCACCUGCAAAAAACAAAAACAACAUUUCUCCUCUGCCAGGUAACACUCACCAACCCCACAACACCCAACACCAGUCAACAUUCCAGGCCAGCACUACUCUCCUCUGCACGCUACCACAGCUAACACCCACAAGCAAGGCAGCUCCAGCACCAAACAGACAGACACACACAUCAGACACAGACAUGAAGGAAGCCCUACACAGAAAGAACUAUUCCUACACGUAAGACACUGCCGGACAGAAAGCCCUAUGAGGCCACAACCACGUGGCUCUGAUGCUCUGGACGAGCCCAGAAGAGAGUCAAACACCACUGCCUGUGACAGAAAGGACCCAGCAAAGCCAGGCAGAUCGAUGCAGAAGAGGCCAGCAAGAAAGACCUAAGGACGUGACAACGCAGGGAAGAAAACCCUGAAAGGAGGCCAGGAAGACGCAAAACGAGAGCGGCCUCAGAAGAGGAGCGGCCGACGAGGCCUCGAAGAGGGCCACAGAGAUGACCGGCCACAAACGGCUGCGACGCAAAGACGGAGCGACAGACAGCCCCUUUUAGCAGGCUGCACAGAACAAGACGCCAUCCAUUAGCACAAAGCUAAUGAGUCAGGCCAAGCAAAAGACAACGGAUGCCUACCGCACUAGUGCUGGACAGUGUGGGCCGUGCUCCCUGAGCACAAGGAACAAGAACAACAUCAAGACCUGAGCAAAAGAUAGCACAGCUACAACACACACCACAUAGACUACACAACAACACAGACACAGGCUAGAGCUGCCCUGCCUAGCACACCCUCACCUUCUGCCAUGCACACCCCACUGUCUCUGCCUCACACACAGCACUCAUCCAGAAGACCCCAUACUACACUGUCAGCACACACACA
rnacentral:lncRNA from 1 species